GUUCUACCAUGCCCGGCAUGAUGGAGAAAGGGCCUGAGUUACUGGGGAAGAACCGAUCGGCCAACGGCAGCGCCAAGAGCCCGGCAGGCGGCGGCGGCAGCGGCGCCUCGUCCACCAACGGCGGGCUGCACUACUCAGAGCCCGAGAGCGGCUGCAGCAGCGACGACGAGCACGAUGUUGGGAUGAGAGUCGGAGCCGAAUACCAAGCUCGGAUCCCUGAAUUUGAUCCAGGUGCUACAAAGUACACAGAUAAAGACAAUGGAGGGAUGCUUGUAUGGUCUCCAUAUCACAGUAUCCCAGAUGCCAAAUGUAAGUUUUCUGAAGUUGAAUGUUAAUGUCAGCAGGAGUUUAUCAGCCAAUUCAAAAUAUGACUUACAUUUGUUUUUGGGUCUUAUAGAUUCUCAUAAGAAAACAGUUUUGUCUUUGUUUUAUUUUUUAUUAAUUUUUUUUUAAUGGAGGUUGUUAUAUUAGAAUGUUUUUCCUUUUGGAAGAUAGUGGGUUGAUCAUUCCAAUUUGUGUCAGGCCCAUGAAGAAUGAAAAAACCUAGGAUCUGAUGGCAUUGCUG
rnacentral:sRNA from 1 species